AAAAGGAAUCACAUGAUUAUUGAUAUUGGCGUUGUAUGUACGCCUCGUGAUAUCGAGUGUUAUGUUUGUGUACAGAAUAAAUGCUUUAUUCGGUAAUUUAAUUAGCUCUCUUACAUCCUGCAAAGUUUCAUCCAAAUGGAUCUAUUCUGUAUGCAUUCCGUUUUCGGAUAUUUUCAAAUGGAAAGUUGAUAAAGUUAAUAAUUAUAACAUAUACAGGGCAGUCGAGCCAACCAGGCCUGGUUUCAGAAACCCAUAGAGACACCCACAACAUGACGCAUCCAACCAUAAUAAGUUGCUCGAACUGGAUCCAAUAGUGACUAUCCUGAACGCCUUCGAACUAGAAGCAAGAUGGGGCAUCUACCCUCUACGGAUUAACAACAUGCUAUAUCACUCUCAAAAUAGGAAACUUCUUUCAAAAACAACGUUACAGGGUGUGUUGUUUCAAUAGGUUGAGGGAAAAAUCAAUAAAACAAAAAUGUUUUUUUUUGAACUCCAAAUUAUUCGAAUAAUUAAGGUUUUUAUGAGUAUACUUUAAUAAGCACUGAUUGAAGUCUGUGCUCCGUGACUACAUAACGCAUUUGACCCGUCAGAUAUAAAUAAAUACACCUAAUUAUGCGAACUAUUUUUUAUCAGUUGAACGAAUUUGAACCUGAUUUUAUUUUGUGUAAACUGUCCGCAGUAAAAAAUAUAUUUCUUUCACAAAAAAAAACUGUUUGUAAUUGUAAUGCAAUCGAUGUAACCGCGAUAAAAAAACCAAUAACAGUUCCAGAUAAAGAAAUGUGAUUUCCAUUAUUUUUUUUGCGUUUACCAACUCAUAUUUCGUGAAAAUAAAUUUAUUUGGUUUCCUA